ACAAAGAGCACCAUAUGAAUAAGAAAGACACUUUCCCUUUCAUGUUCUUGGUAUAGGUUGUUUAUAAAAGUUCCUCGAGAAGAAAUCCAAGGAAAUAUAAUAGAGAUAUGAACAAGAGAUCUAAUGUACUUUAAUGUUAUACACUGGUUUUCAAGCUGCUGCUACACACCCACAUUAUUAAACACCACCAAAUUCAUGGAUUAAAACACGCAUGGAGAAGCAUUGCAGUCCUCCACAGAAGCUUCAGUUGGGUGAAGAGGGAAUCCCCUCUUUUGACCAUAUAAGAUAAUAGAGGACAGAUCUAAUUUUACCAACAACAACAAGAAAGAAAGAAAGAAAGAAAGAAAGAAAGAAAGAAAGAAAGAAAGAAAGAAAGAAAGAAAGAAAGAAAGAAAGAAAGAAAGAAAGAAAGAAAGAAAGAAAGAAAAAGAAAAAUCAAUAAAGCCUCACAAGACAUCUGCUACUUAUAACAAUCAAGCCAGCUUCUCACAUUGUUGUAAACCAAGAUUUUUACCUCUCAAGUAUUCCAUAUAAAUAUAUCAGAAACUUCUCAAGC
rnacentral:lncRNA from 1 species